rnacentral:rRNA from 1 species
CGAAGGAUCCAAGCGUUGUCCGGAUUUACUGGGUUUAAAGGGUGCGUAGGCGGACUAUUAAGUCAGUGGUGAAAGCUUGCAGCUUAACUGUAAAAUUGCCAUUGAAACUGAUAGUCUCGAAUAUGGUUGAGGUAGUUGGAAUGUAUCAUGUAGCGGUGAAAUGCUUAGAUAUGAUACAGAACACCGAUUGCGAAGGCAGAUUACUAAACCACUAUUGACGCUGAGGCACGAAAGCGUGGGGAUCAAACAGGAUUAGAUACCCUGGUAGUCCACGCCCUAAACGUUGCAUACUCGGUUUUAGCGAUAUACCGUUAGGACCCAAGCGAAAGCGUUAAGUAUGCCACCUGGGAAGUACGUCCGCAAGGAUG